AUUUAAAUAGCUUAAUUAUUAGAGCAUAGCACUGAAGAUGCUAGGGUGAUAUAUUUAUCUUUAAGUA
rnacentral:tRNA from 2 species